rnacentral:rRNA from 1 species
AGACCCGAAACCCGGUGAUCUAGCCAUGGGCAGGUUGAAGGUUGGGUAACACUAACUGGAGGACCGAACCGACUAAUGUUGAAAAAUUAGCGGAUGACCUGUGGCUGGGGGUGAAAGGCCAAUCAAACCGGGAGAUAGCUGGUUCUCCCCGAAAGCUAUUUAGGUAGCGCCUCGUGAAUUCAUCUCCGGGGGUAGAGCACUGUUUCGGCUAGGGGGCCAUCCCGGCUUACCAACCCGAUGCAAACUGCGAAUACCGGAGAAUGUUAUCACGGGAGACACACGGCGGGUGCUAACGUCCGUCGUGAAGAGGGAAACAACCCAGACCGCCAGCUAAGGUCCCAAAGUCAUGGUUAAGUGGGAAACGAUGUGGGAAGGCCCAGACAGCCAGGAUGUUGGCUUAGAAGCAGCCAUCAUUUAAAGAAAGCGUAAUAGCUCACUGGUCGAGUCGGCCUGCGCGGAAGAUGUAACGGGGCUAAACCAUGCACCGAAGCUGCGGCAGCGACACUGUGUGUUGUUGGGUAGGGGAGCGUUCUGUAAGCCUGUGAAGGUGUGUCGUGAGGCAUGCUGGAGGUAUCAGAAGUGCGAAUGCUGACAUAAGUAACGAUAAAGCGGGUGAAAAGCCCGCUCGCCGGAAGACCAAGGGUUCCUGUCCAACGUUAAUCGGGGCAGGGUGAGUCGACCCCUAAGGCGAGGCCGAAAGGCGUAGUCGAUGGGAAACGGGUUAAUAUUCCCGUACUUGGUGUUACUGCGAAGGGGGGACGGAGAAGGCUAUGUUGGCCGGGCGACGGUUGUCCCGGUUUAAGCGUGUAGGUGUGUGUUCCAGGUAAAUCCGGUUCACUUUAACACUGAGGCGUGAUGACGAGGCACUACGGUGCUGAAGCAACAAAUGCCCUGCUUCCAGGAAAAGCCUCUAAGCAUCAGGUAACAUCAAAUCGUACCCCAAACCGACACAGGUGGUCAGGUAGAGAAUACCAAGGCGCUUGAGAGAACUCGGGUGAAGGAACUAGGCAAAAUGGUGCCGUAACUUCGGGAGAAGGCACGCUGACACGUAGGUGAAGUGAUUUACUCAUGGAGCUGAAGUCAGUCGAAGAUACCAGCUGGCUGCAACUGUUUAUUAAAAACACAGCACUGUGCAAACACGAAAGUGGACGUAUACGGUGUGACGCCUGCCCGGUGCCGGAAGGUUAAUUGAUGGGGUCAGCGCAAGCGAAGCUCCUGAUCGAAGCCCCGGUAAACGGCGGCCGUAACUAUAACGGUCCUAAGGUAGCGAAAUUCCUUGUCGGGUAAGUUCCGACCUGCACGAAUGGCGUAAUGAUGGCCAGGCUGUCUCCACCCGAGACUCAGUGAAAUUGAACUCGCUGUGAAGAUGCAGUGUACCCGCGGCAAGACGGAAAGACCCCGUGAACCUUUACUAUAGCUUGACACUGAACAUUGAGCCUUGAUGUGUAGGAUAGGUGGGAGGCUUUGAAGCGUGGACGCCAGUCUGCGUGGAGCCGACCUUGAAAUACCACCCUUUAAUGUUUGAUGUUCUAACGUGGACCCGUGAUCCGGGUUGCGGACAGUGUCUGGUGGGUAGUUUGACUGGGGCGGUCUCCUCCUAAAGAGUAACGGAGGAGCACGAAGGUUGGCUAAUCCUGGUCGGACAUCAGGAGGUUAGUGCAAUGGCAUAAGCCAGCUUGACUGCGAGCGUGACGGCGCGAGCAGGUGCGAAAGCAGGUCAUAGUGAUCCGGUGGUUCUGAAUGGAAGGGCCAUCGCUCAACGGAUAAAAGGUACUCCGGGGAUAACAGGCUGAUACCGCCCAAGAGUUCAUAUCGACGGCGGUGUUUGGCACCUCGAUGUCGGCUCAUCACAUCCUGGGGCUGAAGUAGGUCCCAAGGGUAUGGCUGUUCGCCAUUUAAAGUGGUACGCGAGCUGGGUUUAGAACGUCGUGAGACAGUUCGGUCCCUAUCUGCCGUGGGCGCUGGAGAACUGAGGGGGGCUGCUCCUAGUACGAGAGGACCGGAGUGGACGCAUCACUGGUGUUCGGGUUGUCAUGCCAAUGGCACUGCCCGGUAGCUAAAUGCGGAAGAGAUAAGUGCUGAAAGCAUCUAAGCACGAAACUUGCCCCGAGAUGAGUUCUCCCUGAGACUUAAAGUCUCCUGAAGGAACGUUGAAGACGACGACGUUGAUAGGCCGGGUGUGUAAGCGCAGCGAUGCGUUGAGCUAACCGGUACUAAUGAACCGUGAGGCUUAACCUUACAACGCCGAAG